UGCAUAAAAUAGUUAAAGAAUUUUGUAAGCCAGGAGGGGGGCUUCCUUUAUUGGAGCAAGUUUCGAUCCCUACUGCCUCAUUGAAACUCUGGAAGGAAAGAUAUGACUGAUGCAUUGUCUUCCAAUAGCCAAUGAGAAGGGAACUUAGCGGGUGAUGUCACCAAUACAUAUAAGGAGGUGAGAAUUUUAAGUACUCUAUAAUGUUUUCUAUGACUUUGCUAAGAGCAAAGGUGAUGUCGCCAAAUGUAAUUUUGUUUGGAAAGUUGCAGGUCCUUCUCUCUGCCAGUUUUAUACAACGAAGGCACUAUAGCCCUCAUAUUGCUCUAUUGGCAGUCUGGAGUUCUUCCUCAGUGUUAG
rnacentral:lncRNA from 1 species